AAGAAUAAGUUUUGUAAUGUCUUAUUAUUAAUUAUAAGUGGAAAAAUAUAUAUAAAUUUUUUUUAUUUAAAUUUAUUAUUUGAAAUUAAGCGAUUAUUUAUUAUACUUAGUUUUAUUAUUAAAAUUUUGGUUAAAUUUAGUGCCAGCCACCGCGGUUAUACUAAAAAAAUUAAUUAUAUAGAGAAUUGAGUUUUUAUUUCUAUGUAUAACAAAGGCUUAUAAUAGUAAAAUAUUUUAGUUAGCUUAAGUUCUAAAUUAUCACAUAAAAUUGGAUUUGAUACCCAAGUAUAGGUAAUAUUUUCGAAAUUUAAUAGGUUAAAAAUAAUAAUUAGAAAAGUAAAUUGAAAAUUGAAUUACUAGACGGUUUUUUAAACAAUAGGGAAGCUUGCAAAUUAAACUGAUAGUCCUCGUUAUAUUUACCUUUUUAUAUUUGGGUUGUAUAUGUUCGUCUAAUUAAGAGAGUAUCCUUUUUUUUGUUUAAACUCUUAGUAUUAUUGAACUACUAAAGCAAUAAGACAGAUCGACAUGCACCUUUAAAAAGGGUUAAAUGUGAGAAUCAAUUUUUUAUUAUUAUAUUAUAAGUAAGAGUUUUAAAAAGAGAACUUAUUAGUAAUAAGUAAAAUAAAGUUCUUAUGAAAUAACUAUUUAUUUUAAAAAGAGUACUCACCGCCCGCCAAUUAAGCAAUUAAUUAGUAUUAUGUUAAUCAAUUAAUAAGGCGUAACAAGGUAGUUAAUCUAGAAAGAUUAACUAGAUAA
rnacentral:rRNA from 1 species